GAAGAAGGGGGUGUGGAGAGUGGAGCAGAAGCAGCACAGUGCACUGAUGCCUGUGCCUCUUUUCAGUCGCCUCGUCCAGCAGCUUUUCUCGUCAGGGAGAUUUGCGCUUUCUUUUUGUUUUUUUGUGUGUUUUUUUUCACUGGCUCUGAAACCGGGGAUAUACGCCUACAUGGAGCCGCCGUAGCUAAUCAACUCUGGACCAGUGAGGCUACGGGGAGAAAGCGGUCAGCUAUAUCCUUAUCCUUAACCAAACCUGGAAGGCACUGAGAGCUUGCUGAAGCUGUGUUCUUAACGGCCUGAUGAGGACCAUCCCUAGAGGAUUGGGAUAUCUCCGCUGCGUCUCAGCAUCGCUCUUGUACUUGCUCCAAGCAUUGGGUGAGGGGUUGGUAAACCAGCUCAACUGCACCUAGUGUUUAUGUGUUUGUGUGUGGCCAUUUGGCUGGUGCUGACGGAGACACAGUGACACCUCUCUAAAGCUAAACAUAGCAACCUGAGCAGGGCCAUGUGUAACGAGAGACAGAGAGGCUUUGUGCUUGCUGGCAAAGCAUGCCAUAUGUUUGAGAGGCCAGAGAAAGCCAUUUCAAUAAAACUUGCUUAAAAAGAUGCAAACCAAUACGUCUUCACUUCUCCAAUAAACACUAUAUAAAUGGCAUGCUGCAUGACAAGGAUUCAACACUUUUUAUAAAUGCAAAGUAUCAGUAGAAACAUGAUCAGCCAGCCAUAUUGACGGCAGGGUUUUCUAGGCUGGAGAGCUGCCUCCGACAUGUAGUCUCCAAAAUCAAUGAGAGUUAUCAGGACUCAAAAGAAGAGUGCAAGAGAUAGAUCAGGGGCUAAUGUGCCAUCUCCCUUCUGGGGAACUGUUAAUUUCCCUUUCUUCAUGACGUAAUAUUCGGGGUAUCAGCUCUCCGUAUUGCAAUUGCUAAAGGGUCCUGUUGCUAGGAGAGGAACAGCACCAUUCUCUUCCACUGGCUACAAGGACAUGCAUGUUUGGCCAAUAAAAAUGAGUGUGGCUUUAGGAAAGUGCUUUCUCUCCAGAUAACAGAAUUUUACAGAACAUAGAGACCAAGAAUCAAGGAAUAUCGAAAAGCACACAUUUGAGUGUAUCAGAUCACUGACAUUGAAAUGUGACGUUCAGGGCGAGGUAGAUUCAUUAAAAUCUACCUAUAUCUAUUUUUUUAAAACAAGAUGUUUACUAAAUAUCAAUUUGGACAAACAUAUCGUCCACUUUACCCAAAGCACCUGUACGUUCGUGCAAUUAUCGAAUCAGCCUAUCAUGAGGCUGGAACAUCGCCUAGAUACAGAUCAAAUCAUCACAUAAAACAGGUGAAAAUGCCUCGCUGUGAGAGCGGCCAGAGGAGAACGGACAGACCAGACUGGUUUGAU